UUGUGGAGGAGGACGCCGAAGGUGGGGCUAAUGACUGGGGUGAAGUCGUAACAAGGUAGCCGUACCGGAAGGUGCGGCUGGAUCACCUCCUAACAGGGAGACAACAAAAUGUUAAAUAUUAAUUUUGUCACCUUAGGUCGAUCGGUAUCUCACAUUCUUAAUUGAUUUUAAGGAUUUUAUUUCCUAAGUUUUUUCUAGGUCACACCCAUUAUUUUUCCUGGGCCAUUAGCUCAGGUGGUUAGAGCGCACCCCUGAUAAGGGUGAGGUCCCUGGUUCAAGUCCAGGAUGGCCCAUAUCUCUAUGUUGGGGGUAUAGCUCAGUUGGUAGAGCGCCUGCUUUGCAAGCAGGAUGUCAGCGGUUCGAGUCCGCUUACCUCCACUGAUUACCACCUCUUCCAUAAUUUAUAUGAAGGGAUUGUUUUGAUGUGUGAUCAAGUUCUGAACGAAUCUAGCUUCCUAAUUAAACCUAUUAAGAUGCUGGACUCAUUGAAUUAAUUUCAUUGUUUUCAGAGAACCUUGACAACUGCAUAGAUUAUUUUUAAAGACAAUGAGCAUCUUUAAUGAUGCAGAUUUAUUAUUUGUGCGAAUGCAUUAAUAACAAUUCUAUUAAGCUGAUGCUUCAAUUUUUGAAGUUAUUGGUCAAGCUACAA
rnacentral:misc_RNA from 1 species